GAUGAACGCUAGCUACAGGCUUAACACAUGCAAGUCGAGGGGCAGCAUGAACAUAGCUUGCUAUGUUUGAUGGCGACCGGCGCACGGGUGCGUAACACGUAUCCAAUCUGCCCGUUACUCGGGGAUAGCCUUCUGAAAGGAAGAUUAAUACCCGAUGGCAUGUAUUUCCGGCAUCGGAGAUACAUUAAAGAUUUAUCGGUAACGGAUGAAGAUGCGUACGAUUAGCUGGUUGGCGGGGUAACGGCCCACCAAGGCGACGAUCGUUAGGGGUUCUGAGAGGAAGGUCCCCCACACUGGAACUGAGACACGGUCCAGACUCCUACGGGAGGCAGCAGUGAGGAAUAUUGGUCAAUGGGCGAGAGCCUGAACCAGCCAAGUCGCGUGAGGGAAGACGGUACUAAGUAUUGUAAACCUCUUUUUGGUCCAGGGAACAAGAGACCACGUGUGGUAAGAUGAGUGUACCUGAAGAAAAGCAUCGGCUAACUCCGUGCCAGCAGCCG
rnacentral:rRNA from 1 species